rnacentral:rRNA from 1 species
GCUUACGACCAUACCACCCUGAAAACGCCUGAUCUUGUCUGAUCUUGGAUGCAAACUAGAGUUGGGUCUGGUCAAUACUUAGAUGGGAGACUGCCUGGGAAUACCAGGUGCUGUAAGCU